UGCUUUCAGGGAUCUUGUUUUCUGCCUGCCCACCAUGGGCUCUUACGCGCGCUCUCUCUUUUUGUUGGGGGCCCUGGCCCUGACAGAGACCUGGGCGGGCUCUCACUCCAUGAGGUAUUUCUACACCGGCGUGUCCCGGCCCGGGCUCGGGGAGCCGCGGUUCCUCUCCGUGGGCUACGUGGACGAUCAGCAGUUCGUGCGCUUCGACAGCGACAGCGCGAGUCAGAGGAUGGAGCCGCGGGCGCCGUGGAUAGAGAAGGUGCAGAAUGUGGACCCGGACUACUGGGAGCGGGAGACGCAGAUCAGUAAGGGGAAUGCACAGAUUUCCCGAGUGGGCCUGCAGACCCUGCGCGGCUACUACAACCAGAGCGAGGGCGGGGUCCACACCAUCCAGCGCAUGUACGGCUGCGAGGUUUCCCCGGAGCUCUCCUUCAAGCGCGGGUUUGAGCAGUACGCCUACGACGGGCAGGACUACAUCGCCCUGGACACGGAGACCCUCACAUGGACGGCUGCGGCGAAGGAGGCAGAGAACACGAAGCGCAAGUGGGAGGCGGACAGGAGCUAUGCGGAGAGACAGAAAGCCUACCUGGAGGAAACGUGCGUGCUGUGGGUGAAGAAGUACCUGGAGAUGGGGAAGGAGACUCUGCAGAGGGCAGAUGCCCCUUCUGCCCGAGUGACCCGGCACAGCACCGCCAGUGGGGAGGUGACUCUGCGGUGCCGGGCCCAGGACUUUUACCCCGCGGAGAUCUCUCUGACUUGGCUGAGGGACGGGGAGGAACAGCACCAGGACACAGAGUUCACUGAGACCAGGCCUGCCGGAGAUGGGACCUUCCAGAAGUGGGCGGCUGUGGGGGUGACCUCGGGCCAGGAAGGGAGAUAUACCUGCCGAGUUGUGCACGAGGGGCUGCCUGAGCCCCUCACCCUGAAAUGGGAGCCAGAGUCCUCAUCCCCCUGGAUCAUUGUGGGGGUCCUUGCUGCUGUCCUCAUUGUGGUCAUUGCUAUAGCUAUGGUCAGGAGCUGAGACUUCAGAAACUAAGGCUGCCUCCAGAAACCUCCCCAAGAAACUUGCUCUCCCACAGAGAACCAUCAUAUAUUUUAGAAAAGAACAAGAACACCACAUUUUGGUGUCUGAACAUGGGGCUGACAGGAUCCUGAUCUCAGUGGAAAAACCUCUGAUCCUGAAUCCAGUGGAAAAGAAAUUAGGAGGGUUUGCUUGUAUUUCUACAGAUAGAGAAGGAAACAGAUGGGUGGCAACGAGCACCUGGAGAGAAACAGAAAAAGAGAAAAACCUCAAAACACAGGAGAAGAUUUAAGAAACAUCUAACACUGAAAGAACAUGGCUGACAAUGAGACUGUUAAAAGAACUUUUAAAAUCUUCAGGAAUCAUUGGAUUCCCUAACACAAGAUGAGACUGUUUCAGCAGGAAUCAUUGGAUUCCUUGAGAUGAAAAAUUGUUGAUGAGACUAUUGCAGUACUUCAAAGCUUACAGGAAUUAUUGGAUUCCUGGCACAUGAACUAAUGGACAAUGGACUCCUUUGGGACUAUUUCUAGGACUUAUGUAUAAAUUCUCAUGUUGAUAUGAAUCAACAUAUUGAUUCCCAUAUUGAUGAUAAAUUUAUGUAUACUUGUUUCAAGUGAACCCUUUUGGAAACCUGCUAAUCUGAUUUGAUUUCCCAUUUCCUUUGGUGUUUUCAUCUCCCUUCCUGAGAUGUCAGGGAGGGUGUGACCAUCUUCUAUUGUAUUUUCACUUCUUUUUUGAGUAGUCAGAGAAGGCGUGAUCACCUUCUUUUUUUGGGUUCUCACCUCCUUGAGAAGUUAGGGAGGUCAUGACCACCUUAUGUUCUAAAUCAAAAGAAAAUGGGAGAUGUUAGAAUCCUUACAAAAUGAUGUCAGUUGCCUAAUUUAGCAUGGUACUUAGCAAAUUCUCUAGCUCACUAAUGUAUUUAAGCACUAAUUAUUCAGUAUGAGAUUCACAAGUCAGAAACUCAUAAUCCCACUCCCUCAGAGGAGGAGUCAACCUUUGAGUUCACACUUCUAAAAGAGCAUAAAAAGGAGCUGAAUUAGUAAAGUGAGUCAGUUCAGAAGAAGCCUACUCUCGGAGUUAGAGCCAGAUUCAUUCACCCCAUCUCAUAACACCGUGGUGGCAAGCUCUCCUCCUUUGCUUCUCCACUGAAAGAUAGGCCUCUAAGAAAGCUACCCGGGCCCAAGGAAAGAGACAAGACUUGGAAGGAGAAAAUAAACGUUUGGAUUUUAUCA